rnacentral:rRNA from 1 species
UACCAGCACCCCGAGUGGUCGGGACGAUUAUUGGGCCUAAAGCAUCCGUAGCCGGUUCUACAAGUCUUCCGUUAAUCCACCUACUUAACAGAUGGGCUGCGGAGGAUACUAUAGAGCUAGGAGGCGGGAGAGGCAAGCGGUACUUAGUGGGUAGGGGUAAAAUCCGUUGAUCCAUUGAAGACCACCAGUGGCGAAGGCGGCUUGCCAGAACGCACUCGACGGUGAGGGAUGAAAGCUGGGGGAGCAACCGG